GUAGUCUCGCACAGAUGCAUAUCAAUAAGCGGAGGAAAAGAAACUAACAAGGAUUCCCCUAGUAACGGCGAGUGAAGCGGGAAGAGCUCAAAUUUGAAAUCUUAAAGGGUUUCCCUUUACGAAUUGUAGUUUAAAGAAGUGUUUUCUGUUGAGGUUUUGGUAAAAGUUCUUUGGAAUAGGACAUCAUAGAGGGUGAGAAUCCCGUAUUUGACCUUUACUUUCAACUUUGUGAUACACUUUCAAAGAGUCGGACUGUUUGGGAAUGCAGUCCAAAAUGGGUGGUAAAUUUCAUCUAAAGCUAAAUAUUGGCGAGAGACCGAUAGCGAACAAGUACCGUGAGGGAAAGAUGAAAAGAACUUUGAAAAGAGAGUUAAACAGUACGUGAAAUUGUCAAAAGGGAAGCGUUUGACACCAGUGUUGUUUUUCUGAAAAUCAAUUAAAGAACUGUUUAUGCUAAGUUGUUUAGACUUUAUCAGCUAACUGUUUAGUUUUGAGCUUUUCUUUAAUGCACUUUUCAGUUAACAAGUCAACAUCAAUUUCUUUUGCUGUAAAAAAGCUUGAGGAAGGUGGCUUGAGAUUCGUCUUAAGUGUUUAUAGCCUCUUGCCUAUGCAGUCGGAGAGAUUGAGGUCUGCAGCGUAGAUCCUUCGGGGCUAAAUGCAUUUGUGCUAAGUUAUAGCAUUUUAUAGACAACUUGUUGACUAUGAUUUGUCUUGUAGCUUACUCGCUUAUGUUAUUUUACCUACGCUUAGGAUGUUGAUCUGUAGUGCGUGCGC
rnacentral:rRNA from 1 species